rnacentral:rRNA from 1 species
UACGAAGGGGGCUAGCGUUGCUCGGAAUCACUGGGCGUAAAGGCGCGUAGGCGGACAUUUAAGUCAGGGGUGAAAUCCCGGGGCUCAACCUCGGAAUUGCCUUUGAUACUGGGUGUCUUGAGACCGGAAGAGGUAAGUGGAACUGCGAGUGUAGAGGUGAAAUUCGUAGAUAUUCGCAAGAACACCAGUGGCGAAGGCGGCUUACUGGUCCGGUUCUGACGCUGAGGCGCGAAAGCGUGGGAGCAACAGG